AAGAUUUUAAGUUAAUAAAAACUAUUAAUCUUCAAAAUUAAAAAUAUUAAUAAUUUUAAUAAAUCUUA
rnacentral:tRNA from 1 species